AACAUAAAUUAAAUACGUCGUCGUAUAAUAAUGGGAAUAAGGCCCGUAAGUUUCUACCAAGUCACCGUAAAUGACUUGACUACGAUAAUGAAAAUAGUUGUA
rnacentral:ncRNA from 2 species